GUGCUCCUUUCAGCAGCACAUAUACUAAAAUUGUACAGAAAGGAUUAGCAUGAGCCUUGUGCAGGCAUGACAUGAAUUUGUGGAGCACUCCAUAUUUUA
ensembl:snRNA U6 U6 spliceosomal RNA